UGUCAGAACCACUUCAAAGUGACAAGCAUCAGCUCCCAAGUCACCACCUUCCUCCAACGGCUCACCAAGUUUGAGUGGAAGACAUCAAACUAGGUAAGCAUUUUCUUGUGUGAUGUAAUAUAGUUAACAUCAGAAAAAUGAUUACACAGUACGAUGAACAGUGCGGCUACGUACCCUGCCUGCUCCAACAUCGACAGAACUAAAUGCACCGGCAUCCUGUAUUUACCACUUGUGUCAGCAUUGGUCACAGUUGCUCGGCAAAAGUUACAUAGUGUUGUUUUAAUUUUAGUUAAAGUUUUCAUAUGUUUUUUUGUCUAAGUGACUGAUAAGAACAACAAUCUUUGAAAUUGGUCCAGUAUUGAGCGAGAACACUGACCUGCAGCUUUGAACCGGGCUCCAAUGUAAUCAUAUAGGGCAAAUGUGUGAUCGUCAAUUUCGUCCACUAAAAGUUAUGUUUUUGCCACUGACGAUCUCAGAUUAUUACUUUAAGUGUCUUGACAACAUUAUGGAAAGGAUCCCUACAGAGAUACACAUUUUAGUUAAAGAGGAAGAUCCUUUUUGUUUAAACAAGAAACAGCCCCGAAAUCACCAUCACCUAACCCACCAGACGAUCAAAAGUUACUGUUUAUUUACACGGAGUCUGGUGGGU